GCAAACUUGGUCAUUUAGAGGAAGUAAAAGUCGUAACAAGGUUUCCGUAGGUGAACCUGCGGAAGGAUCAUUAACCAUCAUAUUCCUAUUCACUUUGUGUGCAAUUACAAAAAAGAUCUAUCUUUGGAAAGGUUAUUCUAUAACCUUUCCAAAGGUUAUUAUAACUGAUGAUUUCUUCUUCUUUUUUAUCCUAAGAAACAUCUUAAAAUAAAAACAACUUUCAACAACGGAUCUCUUGGCUCUCGCAUCGAUGAAGAACGCAGC
rnacentral:misc_RNA from 1 species